AUUGAACGCUGGCGGCAGGCCUAACACAUGCGAGUCGAACGGUAACAUGAAGCAGCUUGCUGCUUCGCUGACGAGUGGCGGACGGGUGAGUAAUGUCUGGGAAGCUGCCUGAUGGAGGGGGAUAACUACUGGAAACGGUAGCUAAUACCGCAUAAUGUCGCAAGACCAAAGAGGGGGACCUUCGGGCCUCUUGCCAUCGGAUGUGCCCAGAUGGGAUUAGCUUGUUGGUGGGGUAACGGCUCACCAAGGCGACGAUCCCUAGCUGGUCUGUGAGGAUGACCAGCCACACUGUAACUGAGACACGGUCCAGACUCCUACGGGAGGCAGCAGUGGGGAAUAUUGCACAAUGGGCGCAAGCCUGAUGCAGCCAUGCCGCGUGUAUGAAGAAGGCCUUCGGGUUGUAAAGUACUUUCAGCGGGGAGGAAGGGAGUAAAGUUAAUACCUUUGCUCAUUGACGUUACCCGCAGAAGAAGCACCGGCUAACUCCGUG
rnacentral:rRNA from 1 species